rnacentral:rRNA from 3 species
AAAACUUUCAACAACGGAUCUCUUGGUUCUGGCAUCGAUGAAGAACGCAGCGAAAUGCGAUAAGUAAUGUGAAUUGCAGAAUUCAGUGAAUCAUCGAAUCUUUGAACGCACAUUGCGCCCUCUGGUAUUCCGGGGGGCAUGCCUGUCCGAGCGUCGUUA